CUCAACUCCAAAGACUGGACUCAUUUGUUACGGUCUAAAAUCCCAAUAGCAAACAUUUAAUUAUGGCAUAACAAUACAUUUACAUAUAUACAGCAAGGUGUUGUGUCUUACCAAACUCAUUUAAUUUAUUAUGAGGUAACCACAAUUCCUGCUAUACUGCAGCAGACCCCCGCACUGAUAAUUAUCUCUAUCAUUCUUCUAUCACAGCUCUAAGUUUACCACAUUCCCAUUUUUCCCAAAUGUCUGGCCUGAAUGUAUCCCUAGCAGGGGCGGACUGACCGG